rnacentral:rRNA from 1 species
UACGUAGGGUGCAAGCGUUAUUCGGAAUUACUGGGCGUAAAGCGUGCGCAGGCGGUGAUGUAAGUCAGGUGUGAAAUCCCCGGGCUCAACCUGGGAACUGCAUCUGUGACUGCAUCGCUGGAGUGCGGCAGAGGGGGAUGGAAUUCCGCGUGUAGCAGUGAAAUGCGUAGAUAUGCGGAGGAACACCGAUGGCGAAGGCAAUCCCCUGGGCCUGCACUGACGCUCAUGCACGAAAGCGUGGGGAGCAAACAGG